GAUUAACGCUGGCGGCGCACAUAAGACAUGCAAGUCGAACGAACUUAAUCGAAAAGUUUACUUUUUGAAGCGGUUAGUGGCGGACUGGUGAGUAACAUGUAAGCAAUCUGCCUAUUAGAGGGGAAUAACAGUGAGAAAUCACUGCUAAUACCGCAUAUGCCAUAGUUAUCGCAUGAUAAUAGUGGGAAAGGAGUAAUCCGCUAAUAGAUGAGCUUGCACCUGAUUAGCUAGUUGGUGGGGUAACGGCCUACCAAGGCGACGAUCAGUAGCCGGACUGAGAGGUUGAACGGCCACAUUGGGACUGAGAUACGGCCCAG
rnacentral:rRNA from 1 species